UAUUGUUUUUCUUCUAUUCUAGAAUCUGAUUGUAAUACUGUAUUAUGGGUGCAAAUGUGUUAUGGAUGAUAUUUCCCAAUCAGCCAAAGACUUCAGCAAGUGAUUUUUUAACUUACAUGACUUGUAAGGUCUAAGUCCAUUGCAUAGGAAAUCUCGUGUCUGUCAAACCUGGCACAUCCAAAGUUGAACAUAGCUGCUAUUCCUAGCCUUGCCCCUCCAGCCCUGCUUCAUGGCGGCUUUCCCAUCUGUGCCUGGACAAUGCCACCUUUUCAGUUGCUGGGGCCACAUAACCUGAGCACCUGUCUUUACUUCCCACACUCAAGCUGUUCCAGUCUUCUGUUGGUCCUCCCUUCAACAUACACCCAGAAUAUCACUGUCUCCCGAUGCUGCCACCCAUGUGACAAACCAUCCAUUUUCACAUGGGCUACGAAGAGAGAGCUGAAUCUAGACUCCUCGCCUUCUCCAACCUCCUUGUAAUGUUUCGUCAUGGCAGUGAGUGGAAGUUUUACUUAAACCCUAUGUAAUUCAGAGUAAAAAUUGAAGCCCUUACAAUGGUAUCUGAGGCUCUGUGGCGUUGCCAUGCUGUGCUUCUCAGUCUCCCUGACUGCCUCUCCCAUCACCCUCCCUUCAUAUUUUCCUCCCUGGCUGCUCACAAGCAAGCUCUGUAUAUUCCAUCCCAAGGUCUUUGUAGUAGCUGCCCCACUACCUAAAGUGCUGUUGUCAUGGCAGCCUGAUCUCAUCACUUGGCUCUUUCAGGUCAGUGUUUAGAUGAUGCUUCAGAGAAUUCAACUCUACUUUAGAAAUGCAGUCCUAUCCAUUCUACAUGUUCAGUCUCCAUCUGCCUGGUCAUUUGUAGUCGAUGAUAAUAUUAACCACUAAGCACUUUACCUAAUAAUGUAUUUAAUGUUUAUACACUGUCCCACGAGGUCAGAACCUGCUAUAUUCAUUUACAGAUGAGGGAAUCUAGUCUUAGGCUGUUUAUUGAAGCUAAAGAGAUGGCACAGCCAACAACAGCACUUGCUGCAGUUGCUGAGAACCAAAAUUCAGUUCUCAGAACUCAUGUAGCUCGUAACUGCCUGCAGCUCCAAUUCUAGGAGAUCCAGUACCCUCCUCUACCACUACCACUACCAGGAAUGCACACAGCAUGGACACACAUGUGCAGACAGACAUCAGUACAUACAAAAAAUACAUUUUUAAAGGUUAUUUUUCUUGCACUCAGUCCAUUAAAAUGGACUAAUUUUGCCAACUUUUUUACUAGUAUCUCAGUGUUCAGAACCUAACACAAAGCAGAUAUCUAAUAAAUAUUUGCUAAAUUGACAGAUAAACCACUACUUCCCAGAAAGAACUUUCAAAGGCCAAUAUGAGUUUAUUACAUGCUCAAAGCUUAGUAUCUUCAUGGGAAAAAAAAGGGGUGGGUUGUGUUUAUGAUAAACAUGCAGAAGGUUACAAUCUCAGCUCAAGAACAGCUCCGACCUCUCACUCCUCUUGCUCUUAUUCCCCCUACUCUCCUCUCUCUCCUCUCUCUCUCUCUCUCUCUCCCUCUCUUACUCUCCAGCCUUUCUCUCUCUUUUUCUUUCCCCCUUCUCUCCUCUUGGCCAUGGCCGGUCUCACUCUCCACCGUCUCUCUCCCUGCCUUUCUAAAAUAAAAUUCUAAAACCAUUAAAAAAAAAAAAAAAAAAACCCAACUCCGACACUGGAUAAUCUCUAGAUACCAGAUCCCUUCUCCCAGACAGAAACAACCAAAUCCAUCUAAUCCUCCCACCAAGGCCCUGCCACAGCCUAGGAAAAGACAGUCUGGAAAACCGCUUUCACACAUGAAGAACUGUAACGCGAAAUGCUUCGGGGAUGCCCACUUCUACCUGGCCCUCUUCUAAGCACUGCGUUCAAUCAUUUGAUUCUGAUAAGCAACCUUGUGAUGCAUUCCCAUCUAGCCUUACUCUACUUUCCAAAAGAUUUGGGCCUUAGUGAAGUAAAGUGACUUUCCAGUGUCACACAGUAAACAGAGAAGCUAGAAUAUCAGACUGAGCCCAGAGCUUCUGCCCCUGAUCACCAGUUUACUGAGACUCACUUCAGGAACCAAGGUGCCUUUCUGGUAGACAGUCUACUGACUUAGAGAGUUUAUGAUCCAGUAAGAAACACAGACUUCAGUUGAAAAUAAUUAUAUAUGUAAAAAAUGAAAUAAAUGCCGGAAGGACCACUCGAUGGGCUUAGUCAGAACAACCUAGAACCACCUCAUGACAGGGGGAGGUUUUGACCAUAAUUUGAAAGGAAAAGAAAACAUGCCAUCAAGGAGACAGGUCAUGUUCCAGGUGGGAAGAAAGUUGUGCAGACAGACUAUUAAGAAAAAUGUUAGAGACAAUGGUGUGUCUAUGUAAUGCCAAAACAUCUGGUCAAUUCCAUUUUUUUUUUAAAAGCCAACCUCCAUCAAUGUAGUGACUUUCUUCAGUCAAUCCAGAUGUUUGGCGGCUUGUAGACAAAACAUCCAGAUGAUUAACUGAAGAUUUGACAGAGUUGACUGGAUUAGCCAGAUGUUGCAGCAUUGUAUAGACACUGUCAGGACGUUUACUUGGCUGGAGUGGGGUCCAGCUGUAAAAGGAGAUGGAUGGUCUGGGCAGUGCGGGAGCUUUGGAGCAGAAGACCUGGACCUGGACUGGAUGCAACUGGGAGCUGCUGCACGAGGUGUGGGAUGGAAACGACGAUGCUUCGGGAAGAGAUGCUGUGUGAAGAGAAGGAAGAGUAACAGUGAGAGGAAAAGCUGCAGACAGGAAAGAGGAUCUUGAUCUUAGGAGAGUGCAGGUGCAUGUGAGGUAAUUAAAGCCUGAAACAGAAGGCUGGGAAGGCAACAGGAAGAAGCGGAUCUGAAAAACAUUACAGAACAAGAACAGGAAGUCGUGAUGGGCUAGACAGGGGAGUCAGAUGCAUAUCACCCCAAGGCUGGAGACAGACAGCAAGGCCUGGGAAAGCAGCUGCUGGCAGUCCCACCACAGGAGGAAACCAAGAGGGAUCCCCCAAAGCCUCCAUUCCGAGCCUGCUGCCAGACCUACAGUUAGCAGGUACAGAGAAAGCAAAUCCAUGAGCUCUGGCUCCCAGAGCAAUUCGGUACUAGAUUCACACUAUCGGGGAGGAAUAGCCGGUGAAAAGGGUAAAUUAUAAUGGCAUCUGCUUUCAUGUAGUAUGCAGUGCGAGCUAAGAAAUAUAAAGCAUAAUUAGAUGCAGUAAGAUUAUGAGAAACUGCACAGUGCCUAUUUGGCUUAACAAAUUAGAAUUUGAAAAGCCUGUUUAUAGGCAGACCUUAAAGGCUGAGUGAGGACAAGCGUUUACUUGUGUGAUUUAAAGGUCUGAUUUCUAAAAGUUUGAAGAUCACAGGCCUUGACUUAGAUACUUAUUUACAGAAUUUUUUUAAAUGUUCUUAUUUGAUAAGAAUCAGGCUUACCUUUAGACACAAACAAGGAUUUCAGUUUAUUAGAGUUAGCACCAUGAUGGUGCCACAGUUGAGAUCUUAAAUGUCCCCCAAAGGCCCGUCUCUUCAUAGCUGGGUUCCUAGCCUACAGCACUAAAGGAAGGUGGUAGAUGGUUAGGGCAUCAGCCUUGUGGAAGGAAGUAAUGUCAUGGAAAGUAUGCUCUUGAAGGAGAUAUUAUCUCCUUUUUCCUUUCCACAGUCUUUGAGGUUAGCAGCCUCCGUGCUCCCACAAUGGCCUGACUUGCUACCAUGUUCCACAACAGUGUAACCAAGUAACCAUGAACCAACACUUCUGAAAUCCUGUGCCAAAAUAAACCUUCCCUCUCUCCAAUUGAUUCACCUCAGGUAUUUGUCAUAGUGCGGGAAAACUAACACACAGGAUGGGUGCCCUGGCUUACUAAAGAGCAUCCUGAGUAUUUAUGGAAUUUGUGGUUUUGCAUAUGUGCCAUCUCCAGCAUUUUCAGCUCCAAGCCUAUCAGCCCACACAACCAGUUGGGUGCCCUUUAGACACACACUGAGAGUUUUCUCCCAACACGUGCUGCUUGUUAAAUGAAGGGAAAAAAAAAAAAAAAAGAAAAGCAAAACAGGAAGAAGGGAAA
rnacentral:lncRNA from 1 species